UGGAACAGAGCCACCGUUACUGUUAUUAGUUACACUUGUGCUCUUCCUGCUGGGACGGCUCAAGAAGUCUCUGGUGAUAAAGGCUAACCUGAGCUAACCCCAGCUGCAGCCGGCAGCCAGUGAGAAACAGCGAGCCUGGACGCUACGACGAGCCAUGGGAGAAGAUGUCUCGCAGUGUUGCAGUGAUGGAACGGCUUGUUAAAUUUCUGCAGCCAUCGGAAGGCAGCAGGAUGGAUAUGUUGAUAAAUCUGCAGCCCCUGAUUGGAGCGGUGCCACGACGCACGGCCGGUCCACGCAGCUCGCCUCGAAUAAAUCAUGUGCAGAUGAUACCAAGCUGCUGCAAAAUAACAACACACACCUCUGCACACGUCAGAGCGGAGAGUAGUGUGCUGCUGUCCAGAGGGCAUUGAUUACAGCAGCUCAUCAAUCCUGUGUGUCAUCGCUUCCUUUCCAACUUUUGCCAGAUCGAGAUCAGAUCAACGGCCUCAUCCACUACUUAAAAUUUUUAAUCAAGAAAAUUCAGAGACUGAUAUCUAAAAACCUGGACAAAAGAUGGAUUUUCCGAUACACUCGGGCCAAAAAAACAAUGUCUUUCUUAAACACGCAGGCCGUCUAAACAGAGUCACUACUUUAUAAGUACUUAUUGUAAACUUUAAUCUUAAUUCAAAGCGUGAGUUUCUUUGUGAUUCAUAGCAAGAGAAUGUCCCGAAUUGACAUUUCUACAAAUGUGAAAUGUUAUGUAUCUUUACAGUUCAUAUUUCAGCACAGCCAUAAGAUAUAUUUUGUGUUUACAUGUAUUGUUUCUUCUUGUUCAUAUUUCAUACAGCCAGUGACACAAGAAGGAAAAAUGAACAAGAUCGAGCUUAAAAACAACAAUAACAAAAACUAAUCAAAAACCUUAAGUAUCUGUACAAGGCCACACAGUUAUGCGUGAUUCUGCUUGUCUCUGUAGGUGUUACUUGUUUUCAUUCAUGUCUUUGUAUGGAUUAACUAAGAACCCUGUUAAUUAAA